AGAACGAACGCUGGCGGCAGGCCUCAAACAUGCAAGUCUAGGGGAUGUAGCAAUACAUCACCGGCGGACGGGUGCGUAACACGUGGGAAUAUACCUUUCGGUACGGAACAACUGCGGGAAACUGCAGCUAAUACCGUAUACGUCCUUACGGAGAAAGAUUUAUCGCCGAAGGAUUAGCCCGCGUUCGAUUAGCUAGUUGGUGAGGUAAUGGCUCACCAAGGCGACGAUCGAUAGCUGUUCUGAGAGGAAGAUCAGCCACACUGGGACUGAGACACGGCCCAGACUCCUACGGGAGGCAGCAGUUGGGAAUCUUGGACAAUGGGGGAAACCCUGAUCCAGCCAUGCCGCGUGAGUGAUGAAGGCCUUCGGGUUGUAAAGCUCGUUUUACCCGGAAGAUAAUGACUGUACCGGAGAAUAAGCUACCGGCUAACUUCGUGCCAGCAGCCGC
rnacentral:rRNA from 1 species